AUACAGAGGGUGCGAGCGUUAAUCGGAAAUACUGGGCGUAAAGCGCGCGUAGGCGGCUUAUUAAGUCAGAUGUGAAAUCCCCGGGCUCAACCUGGGAACUGCAUCUGAUACUGGUAAGCUAGAGUUUUGGAGAGGGAAGUAGAAUUUCAGGUGUAGCGGUGAAAUGCAUAGAGAUCUGAAGGAAUACCAGUGGCGAAGGCGACUUCCUGGCCAAAAACUGACGCUGAGGUGCGAAAGCGUGGGUAGCAAACGGGAUUAGAAACCCUUGUAGUCC
rnacentral:rRNA from 1 species